CCUUUCAAGAAUCAACUAGUAGUACUGAGAACACAAUUCAUUUCCACAUGCAUAUAGACUACUUUAUUUCUAAUAUACUGCGUAAUGAAAAAAAUCAGUGGCGUAUUAGCCAUAGAAGGACCUCCAAGUGUAGUGGUGGCAUCCAUUCUUUUCAGCUGAAAAAUGGAAUUAGCGCACUAAAAUUUUGUUGGUGUUUUCUUUUGGUUUUUAGUUUCAAUGUUAUAGAACCAAAUUCUUCUAGUUUUCUUUGGUUCCUUCAGUUUUAUUUCAAAUAUUUAAAUAGACUUUUGUUGUUUGUUUAAUGUUAACCGUACCAUAUAAUCAGAAUGCUACCCCUCUAUGAAGAACAAAGCUUCCAAAAUGUUAUUAUAUUUGUGUUGGGUCAAUUGUAUCCAACCACACAUAUUUCAUGUUUUAGGUACAUUUUCCAACAAUUUCUGGAUGCGUGUAUUGUAUUUCUAUUUUCUUUGUCUGAUCAGUGAACAUUUAUGUCAUGUUCAAAUACGACUUUCUUUUCCCAUUCGAAUUUUAAACUUCAUAGAGGAGUGUUAAGUAUGAAAGAACAAAUUCAAAUAAAAGAGAUGCAUAUUUUAAUUAUGUUGUUAGGAAGUGCUUAUGGGACCGGCUCAUUAGGAUCAAAAUGCUUGUAGCAGGCUGGUGGUUAUAUUUCAGAGAUGCAUAUUUUAAUUGUGUAGUUAGGAAGUGCUUAUGGGACCAGCUCAUUAGGAUCAAAAUGCUUGUAGCAGGCUGGUGGUUAUAUUUCAGAGAUGCAUAUUUUAAUUGUGUAGUUAGGAAGUGCUUAUGGGACCAGCUCAUUAGGAUCAAAAUGCUUAUAGCAGGCUGGUGGUAUUGACUGUCUUUAGAGGUGGCUUCUGAAUGCUUAGGGCGCAAUAGUUGCAGCAUAUACACCUGUUAUAAAGUCCUUUCACCAUAUUCCUCUUUAACACUGUUAUGUUGUUGAUCUGGAAGAUUGUCACUUGCAUGUAAGACUGAUGAUUUCUUUGAUCAAGCAGACCAAUCUUCAGAAGCUGGAUUUGUUGUUUCGAUGCAGCGUGGAAUCUGCCAUCUGGAUAUCUCGUCAUGCCAUUUUAAAGGCUGUAUUUUGUGACCUUGCUUUUAAUUGAAGUCUAUCUUCAGCUGGAGUGGGAGUUGCACCGGGAAAUUGAAGAAUGGGUGAUAAAUUGUAGUGAUACAGCAAGACCACGUAGAUGGUGAAAUACUCUUCGAUGGUUAAGAGUGGAGUUUCAAAAACUUACUUUCUCAAGAAUGUCCAUUUUUAAAGCCAUAGGAUACGAAAUCUGAACCAAAUCACUGGAGCAUGGUGCCUCAAAUCUCUUCAUAUGGUCAGGUGAAGUAUCACACUAUUGUAUCAUCUAUUCAUCUAUUGAACUCUUGUUCUGAAAUGUGGUUUUGAUAAAUUAUAUAAAUUGAUUAGACAUACAUGUUAUAUUGAGAAUUGUCUAUAAGUGUUUCACAUAAAAAAUUUCACUAAAUACAUAUAAAAAGUAUAAAAUACGGAGAUUGGGAUGUAAGAUAGGUUUUCCAUGCAUUCACUUAAUCUUAUUUCCUGCUUUUUUUUUUGGGACAUCAAAACAUUGUGAAAAAUCGCUCAUUGUGCAUUUAUCAACAAUGUGUGCUAGAGAAAUCUCAUCACUAUGCAAUUUUCCAGCGGCUAUGAGUGAUACCCAAGGUGCCUUUUUGUGUGUGUGUGUGAGAGAGUGUUGUGCUUCAAUUAGCAUGACCAAGAGGUUCACGAUAUUCCAGUAGAAAAAUCCAGCGCAAUUCGUUGGAGUGGCCAUGGUUGCGCAUGCGUUGAAUAGUUAGUGACUUUUUCUAUAUCACACAACUCUCGUGCUGGACUAUCUCUAAUCGAAUGUUUGACGGGCAUUCCGGCUUGUGAGAACUCGGGUCGGUCGGUCCUCCAUUUAUCGAACCGGAUGUAUGGAAAAUGAGGCCAUCUUCACAACCUUCUCACUUCUAUCUCUAUGGUGGAAUAAGGUAAGGCGGUUCACUUGAGUUGCUCAACCGUCCCUUGUCCGAUGCUCAUGAGCUUAUUCAUCGCAAUUUGUAGAUUAAGGUAAUUGUUCCUCCAUAUUUUCACUUAUCGUUUCCGAUAUUCUUAAGAUUAUUUGUGUCGUCUUUACCUAGGUGCUUUCCAGCCAUUUUCGGCCCCCCAAACCAUUUUCGGCCCCCCAAACACCACCUCUCUUAGGCGUACUAGUUGCUAUUAGUCUACGACUUUGAGAUUACCCAUUUUCCAACCAUUAUUUUUGUUGAUUAACAUGAUUUUAAGAGAUUUGAUUAUAUUUAGGAGAUUGUUAAUUUUCGCAUGAUUUCAAGAGAUUUGAUUUGAUUACUGGAUUGAUAGUAUAAAUUUAUUUUAUUUCCUUAAUUAACAUUAUGAGCUUUGUAUAUAUUCCCUUGCUCAUGAGACGUAAACAAACACAAAAACACUAGGUAUUAGAGUCAUUGUUGCCUUUUUGAGGUGAAUUAUCUCCCUCACAACACUAGGGUUUCAUUUUUAUCAAAGAGGUUGAAUUUUCUCUCUUUUGAUGACUGUUCGCAACACAAACUCCUUCUAAUUAGUUUUAAUUAUGUACAAUCAGGUACUACCUUUGCCUACUAGUUUUAAUUUUUCUGUUCGCUAGAGUUAAGGUUCCGUCGAGAAAGAUUUGAUUUUCGGCGAGACAGAACGUUUCUGAGCAAUUUUCUUCAGAUUUCUUUCUAAGUAGGUAGAAAACAUGGAGACAUUUAAGGAGACAAUUUCUGGAGAAAUCUUAUCUUCAGAUGAAAUGCAGCUUCUUCGUCGCCUCAUAGCCAAACUUGACUGUUAAUAUUGCUACAUCCAAUUAUAUACAAUCAAGUACUGCCUUUGCUGCUCACCUUAAUCCAAGUGUUGAUUCUUGUGCAAGUAGACAUAUGACAUGCUCUUCUAAAGGCAUUAGAAACUAUUCUUCGUGUCUCAAAGAAGAUAAUGUUAAAAUAGAUUCUUUAACAUUAUCUCUGGAAUAGAUUCUGUCAAGUAGACACAUGACAUGUUCCAAUGGUUUUUUAACACCUAUCUCUGGAAUAGAUUCUGUCGUUUGUACUCCUAAUAUUAAACUAUCAUCCAUACUCCAUGUCCUUGAGUUCAUUUUCAAUCUUUUAUCUGUUAGUGCCAUUAGCAAAGCUCUAAACUAUAAAAUCGAGUUCUCUCACGAUCAUUGUAUUUUUUAGGAUCUUCAAACAGGGUAAAUGAUUGGCAGUGGUAGAUCGCGUGAUGACUUGAAUUAUAUUAGAUGGAAUUCAAAAUUUUGGUCAAGCCUUUUUUGGGAAAGUAAGGAUGUCUACCAAGAAAUAAUAGAGGGCAUAGACGGUUAGGACACCCAUCAUUCUUUAUUUUGAAGAAGUUAUAUCCCGAUUUCUUUUCAAGGACAUAAUUUGAAUAUUUGAUUUUGCGAUACAUGUGAAUAUGGCCAGCAUACUAGAAACACUUAUUCUGUGAGUGAUAAUAAAAGCACAACUCCGUUUAUGACUAUUCAUUCUAAAUAUGGGAUCCUAGUGUUAUUAAAAGCGCUUGCUUCUCGCUUUAAGCACUGAAGCGACGCGAGGCGCAGGGCUAUCGCUUUUCUGCUACAAAAGCGACUCACAUUUAAAAAGCACUUGCUUCUCGCGCUUAAGCGAGAAGCGCCUCGAUGAAAAAGCGAUAAAAAAGCGUGCUUAAGCGAGCAGAAGGCAGCUAGUUUUUUUUUAAAAAAUUUUGGCAAAUAAGCCAUCUGUUAACAAAUAAACUUGCGCUCUUCAACGACUUCUUCUCCAGCGAACUCCAGCGACGGCGAAGUCUCCAGUUCUCGGUAAGUUUCUUCAACGACUUCUUCUUCUUUCAAUUUUUUCACUUUUUAAGUGCUGAUUUUGUGCCCUAAACGACUUCUUCUUCUGUUCUACUUUGUGCUCUGUUUUAUGCUUUAUGCUCUGUUUUCUGGUUCGUGUGAAUUAACUGUUAUGUUUUUUUUGGUUGUUGAUUGUAGUAAAUUAAAUUUGAUUAUUCAAUGGCAUCAAGCCAAAAAAAGAGUUCUUAAUAUGCUUAAUAUGUUAUUUUUAAUGAGUUCUUAGCCAUUUAUCUUUUGCCUAUUUUUUUUUAAUUUAUGUGUUAAAUUGCGCUUCACAUGAAAAAAGUGCGCGCUUCGCUUCACGCUUCUCGCUUCGGUGAAGCGAGGCCUCGUUGCUUUUUUGCGCUUAACGCUUUCCAAAACACUGGGUCCUACUCAAAUUAUUUCUUUGUUUGGUAGUCGAUGGUUUUUUACUUUCAUUGAUUGCUGCACUAGGAUGACUUAAGUGUAUUUGUUAAAAGAUAAAAGUGAAGUUUUCUCUUGCUUUCAGUCAUUUCAUAAAAUAAUUUGUACUUAGUUUGAUGCCAAAAUAAAACUCUUGAGAUCUGACAAUGGCAUCGAAUACAUGGAUAAAUGAUUUGGUGCUUAGGUGGAGUCUAAUGGGACAAUCCAUCAGACUAUUUGUCCUUGCACUAGGGCAUAAAAUGGGGUUGCUGAAAGAAAACAUAUGCAUUUGUUAGAAGGAGCAAGAUCUCGUAUGUUUAACAUGCAUCUAUCAUGCUAUUCUAGUGGUUGUUUAUCUUAUCAAUAAAAUGCCACUUAAAAUUAUUAUUUUUCAUAGUCCUCUAGAAGCUUUAAAAGGUAAGAAUGAAUAUACUAUUCCUCCAAAGGUGUUUGAGUGUGCUUUCUUUGUCCACACUAGAAAUUCUGGGAAACUUGAUCCUAGAACACAGAAAUGUUUCAAAUGUUAUCAUCCUGCCUCUAGCAGAUCUUUUGUUAGCAUGUAUGUUACCUCUCGAGAAUUUGAGCCUUAUUUCAGUAUUACCUUAUCACCUCUUCAUGAGGAGAGCAGUAAGGAGGAAAAGGUGAUUCUACCUAGUUUUAUUACUGGACUAAUUGAUGACAUUGUCAUAGAGUGAAAUUGGAGAAAGAAUUCAGGAGGAGACUAUUGGACGUUUGGAUAAGCUUGAUUUGAAAACUUACUCAAGGAGAAAUAGAGCAGAAAAAGCCAUCAUGCAAUCUACUGAAGCUGAAUCUUCUUCUACUGGUGAGUUAUCUACAUUUCCUAAUGAGUUAGAUAUGCCUAUUGUUCACAGAAAAAGAGUCAAAUCUUGCACCACCAAAUACCUUUAUCUAAUUUUGUCUCCUAUAAUUUUUUAUCUCCCUCCUAUAGAGUUUUUGGCCGUUCUAUUUCUUUUGUGUCUAUUCCCUAGAACUGGAAGGCAACUUUUGCAGAUCCUAAGUAGAAGCAAGCUAUGAUUGAAGAAAUGAAGGUCUUGUAAAACAUGAGACUUGGGAACUUGUCACUUCACCACCAGACAAGAAGUUGGUUAGCUGCAAAUGAGUCUUCACUGUGAAGCACAAAGUUGAUGGCUCGAUUGAAAGAUUCAAAGCAAGAUUGGUGGCUAAGGGAUUCACUCAGACUUAUAGAGUGGAUUAUCAAGAGACAUUUCCCUAUAUCACUAAGAUGAACACUAUUGGAUAUUUUUUUGUCUUGUGCAGCUAAUCUUGGUUGAGACUUUCAACAGUUUCAUGUAAAUAAUGCAUUUCUUCGUGGAGAUGUAGAAGAAGAAAUAUAUGUGGAGAUUUCUCCUUGAUUAGAUAUUGCCCAAAGUCAAGGAAUGGUAUGUAGAUUAAAGAAAACUUUGUACGAACUGAAGCAAUCCGCAAAGCUUGAUUUGACUAAUUUUGCAAAGCAAUAAUCUCCUUUGGUUACGAACAAAGCAUUGCUGAUCACACCCUCUUCAUAAGACAUCAAACGUGUAAGCUCACUCUUCUCAUAGUUUAUUUUUAUGACAUAGUAACGAUGGGAGAUGGCAAAGAGGAGAUGACCAAUUGAAGAAGUUGCUGGCACAUGAAUUUGAGAUCAAAGAUCUAGGGAAAUUGCAGUACUUCUUGGGAAUUGAGGUUGCUAGAUCAAAAAGAGCAAUCUUUAUUUCUCAAAGGAAGUAUAUUCUGGAUCUCUUGAAAGAAACUUGUAUUACAAGUUGCAGACCCGCAUAAUUUCUCAUUGAAAGUAAUCACGAGUUACAAAGCGGAGUUGGAGAGUCAGUUGACCAAUCGCUCAUUGCCCCUGAGUUCUAUCUUGAAUCGAGCAGUACCAAACAAUAAUAAGAAUUGACAAAUAAGUGUAUUAGUUGUUAAGUAAAACAUUAUGAGUGAAUUUGUUUAUCUUUUUUCUUGAAUUACAUAUAUAUAUAUUUUUUCCCUUCAUUUUUUUACUAAAGCCCACAUUUUAAUUGCGUUUUGCGCUUAAAGCCCUAAUAGACCUAAAACGCUUUUUAGAGCUUUUCGCUUUUGACAACACUGAGAUCAAGUGCAGAGGCAGAAUAUGGUGCUAUGACCCAAGGUGUUUGUGAAUUGCUUUGGCCACAAAAACUACUAGAGGAAUUGAGAUUGUCUGAAAAAAGAAAACUUUUCUUGUAUCGUGACAUUAAGGCUGCCAUUAGUAUAAUUCAUAAUCCAGUCCAACAUGACCGAACAAAGCAUGUAGAAAUUUUUCAACACUUCAUCAAAGAAAAAAUGACAACUGGUGUCUUAGUUUGUUUUAUGUGCCAUCGGAAAAACAACUAGCUGAUGUGUUUGCGAAAGAUCUCAACUAGCGAACUUUUCAUAUGUUAAGUUGCAAGUUGGGCAUGUGUGACAUUUUAGCACCAACUGGAGAGGGAGUGUUGAUUAGCGUGAUUUCAGGAGAUUCGACUAUAUUUAAGAGAUUGUUGAUUAGCAUAAUUUUAGAAAAUUUGAUUAAAUUUGAUUUGGUAGUUGGAUUGAUUGUAUAGAUUUUUUUCAUUUCCUUGAUUAACAUUAGGAGCUUUGUAUAAAUUCCUUGCUCAUGGGAUGUAAACACACAUAAAAAUACAAAAAGCCUUCUUCUUCUCAAAAUCUACAAUUCUUUCGUUCUCUAACAUAUUGGAGGUGGAAAUGAACCAUUGUACUUGUUAAGUUAUUAGUAAGUUUCAUUGCUCCUGACCAGUGAUUAAAAAAGCGCUUGCUUCCUCGCUUAAAGCGAGAAGCGAGGCGAAGCGUGAAGGGCAGCGCUUUAGGUAGGUGAAGCGACUCAGGUAAGAAAAAACGACCGCUUCUUUGUAAAAAGCGAGAAGCGGUGAAGCGAGAAGAAACGUUAGAAGCGUCCGCUUCUCUGUUUAAAAUACCCAACCCCUAUUUUAUUAAAAGCGAGGUUUUAAACACUGUCUGGACUUCUUCAAUAGCAGCGAGACUAGGGUUGUUCUUCAACAACAACAGCGAUUUUUUCUUCUCUUCUUCAUCUACUUCUGAUUUCUGAAAUAAUCUCAGAGCAUCAACUAGUGUUGUUCUUCUUCUUCUUCAACAAUACAUCAGCGACUUUUUCUGAUUUUCAACAGGUAUGUUCUGCACUUUUGAUUUCCAUUCUUCUUCUUUUUCUUUUUCUUUCUAAACGUUCAAAAAGCAGCGAAAUGCUGGCAAAUUUUUUUUUACCUUCGGUUGUUUCUCAGAAAAUUUCUGCCCAAUUUUUAUAUCCUUUAUUCUUAUUCUUAUUGCCUUUCUUAUGUGUUAUGUAGUUGUUCUUUUAAUGGCGCCAAAAGAAGAUAGGAAAGACUCAGGUUGGGCUUACUCUUCAAGAGUUAGCGAGACCAACAAGAUGGCCAUUAGAUGUCUUUUUUGUGAUAAGAUUUCAAAUGGGGGAAUCUAUCGUCAAAAAGUGCAUCUAAUCGGUGUGAUCCAAAUGUCGUAUUUUGUCCUAAAGUUUCGGGGCAUGUGAAGGAAGAAUUGAAAGCAUACCUUAAAAAAGAGAGGUAAAGACUCGAAUAAUUCAUGAACAAGAACUUUAUAAUUUUGAUGAUGACGAUGAUGAAACAGAAGAAGGUGACGAUGCUUCGUCGCUUCCACCAAAAUCACAAAAGCGGGGAAGGAUGCUUCCACCAAUGUCUUCUAGUUGUGGAUCUACUGGCAAGACCAAAGGUCCUAUGGAUUGUUAUUUCCCGCCAAAAUUUGGAGAUAAGGGAGGAAAAAGUGACAAUCCUCAAAUUGAUGCCAAAGCGAUUUUGAGGGAUCGUACAGUUAUAAAGUUUGCACGGUGGAUGUAUGAUGCAGGUCUUCCUUUUAAUUGUGUUAAUUAUACUGACACUUUUUCUGCUUUUAUUGAAGUCGUUGGCCAAUAUGGUCCAGGAGUGAAACCUCCAACUUAUUAUGAAGUUAGAGGGCCAUAUCUAAAAAAAGAGGUGGCAGAGGUGAACAAAAUCGUGGAGGACCACAAAGUAGAAUGAAACAAGUUUGACUGUUCCAUUAUGAUGGAUAAGUGAACGACGAGAAAUGGAAAAAUGAUCAUCAAUCUCUUGGUGAAUUCUCCUAAGGGAAGCCUGUUUCCUGAGUCCGUUGAUGCAAGCGACUCUUCGACGGAUUCAACCAAAAUGUACUCCUUGUUCAAGAGUACAAUAGACUUUAUUGGAGCAGAAAAUGUUAGUUCAAAUUUUCACGGACAACGCCAGUGAAAAUGUUAAAGCUGGUGAUUUGAUGUCUGCUGGGUACCCGCAUAUCUAUUGGACUCCGUAUGCAGCACAUUCCAUUAAUUUGAUCUUCGGUGACAUUUUCAAGGAAAGACCAUUUAGUAGUCUUUAAUCAGGCAAUUAGAGUGCAUUCCUAUAUUGUUCAAAGGCCUUUGUUAUUGAAUAUGAUGAAGAGAUUCACUAAACAAAGAAGCUUGGUGAAACCUACAAAGACAAGAUUUGCUACUACUUUCUUGACUUUGCAUAGGAUGUAUGAGCAAAAAAGCAAUUUGAAGAAGUUGUUUGUUUCAGAUCAGUACACUAACAGUGCCUAUGGAAGGGAAGCUCGAAGGAGAAAAUCUGCAGAUAUUAUACUUUCUCCUUCAUUCUGGAAUAAUGUGGUUCAUGCAUUGAAGAUUAGUGGUCCUUUAGUUAAAGUGCUCCAUUUGGUGGAUGGGGAGCAAAGGCCACCAAUAGGCUACCUGUACAAAGCAAUAGAUAGGGCAAAAGAGGCUAUUCUUUUAGUGAUCAAAGAAAAUAUAAAAGAGACUUUGAGCUCAUAGAUAAAAGGUGGGAUAGUAAGCUUCAUAGCCCUUUGCAUGCAACUGGACUUGUUUUGAAACCGGAAUUGUUUUAUGACAAUGAAGAGAGGAUUCUAGAAGAUGAACCUUUGUGGAAUGGAUACUAUGAAUGUAUUGAGAAGUUGAUACCUGAAGAAUCUGUGCAAGAUAAAGUAACAGAGCAAUUUAGCAUUUAUAGGAAUGCUGAGCAACUUUUUGGAAAAAACAUGGCGAUUAGACAAAGAAAGACGAAGUCACCAGUUGAAUGGUGGAAGCAAUAUGGUCAUUCCACUCCAGAUUUACAAAAGUUUGCCAUCAAGGUUCUAAGUCUCUAACAUGUAGCUCAUCCGGGUGUGAAAGGAAUUGGAGCGUGUUUGAGCAUAUUCAUACCAAAAAGAGGAACAAACUAACCUUGAGGCGUCUCAAUGAUCUAGUCUUCAUUAAAUACAAUAGAAUAUUGAGGCGUCGUUACAACGCUUGCAAUGUAAUUGAUCCAAUUAGUUUGGACAACAUCGAUGAUGCUAACGAAUGGAUAACUGGAGUUCCGGAAGAUCAUGUAGAUGAAGAAGUAUUUGAGGAUACUUCUGAUUUCACUUGAGGUGAUGUUGCGAAGGCGCGUGGAAUUGGGGAGAGGAUUUAUGGUUUGAGGGGGAGUACCUCAACUUCAAGUUCACAGAGGAAGGGAAAAGAGGCAGCUACUUUGUCCCUAGUUAAUGAAGAAGAAGUUGAAGAAGAUGGCGAACAAUAUAAUAAUGAUAGUGGAAUACAAGAAUUUGACAAUCUUGUAGAAGAAUAUGAUGCUCAUUUUGUGUUUUAAUUGAUGUUACUCUUUAGUUUUUUAAUUGAAGUAUUGAAUAUUUGCUUACAAUUACAUGUGUUGUCUAUGUAGUAUUUAUUUUAUUUUAUUUUUAA